UUGGCGGGCUCGAUCGCUGUCGCUGCUCCCCAAAGGGAUUCUACGCAGUCAGCAAAGUGCUUCCAAGGACCACGGCGCCAUAGUCUGCUCCUAAAAUCUUGGAGUCGUCGGUUUACCGGAAACCCAGUACGCACUCGUCCCGAUCCAGGACAUCGUUAGCACAUCAAAAAGGGGACAUAAACAACCUCCAUAACGAGAUUUUUAUGGAGCGAACGUGAGAAAACUAGCUCAGCCAUUGUGAGGGCCGCUCGAUCCGUGCGCAAAUCCAGACGACAAAGGAGAGGAGAGGAAGGCACAGAGCUAUAUAUAUGGGCAACUCCGGAAGUAGAGUCCCUGCACUGCUAAGAAAGACCCAUGUUCCAGAUUUUGAAUGGAAGAUUCAUGACUUCUUGGCGCUAGUUGAGACGAAAGCUACAUCAGUGAUCUCUGGUCCUUUUGAUAACUCUGGGUAUA